rnacentral:rRNA from 1 species
GACGUAGGGGGCGAGCGUUGUCCGGAUUUAUUGGGCGUAAAGCGCGCGCAGGCGGCCGUGCAAGUCGGAUGUGAAAACACGAGGCUCAACCUCGUGCCUGCAUUCGAUACUGCUCGGCUCGAGACAGGUAGGGGAGAUCGGAAUUCCCGGUGUAGCGGUGAAAUGCGCAGAUAUCGGGAGGAACACCGGUGGCGAAGGCGGAUCUCUGGGCCUGUUCUGACGCUCAGGCGCGAAAGCUAGGGGAGCGAACAGG